UCAGUGGAAAUUUGAACUGAUUUUUUUUUUUUUUUUGUCGAACAUGUUUUGGAGUGUGAAAUUCCAAAGUAGGAAGACUGAACUUAGUUUUCUUUUGCGAUCGGGUGAGGUUUGUUCUGAGAGAGUUUUUGGAAGUAUGAGUUUCUCCAAGGGUUCUCCUGGCAGCCAGACGCCGCGUGAUUUAGAAGCUGGGUCUCCUGCUAGCUUCUCUGCUGAUUUUGAUGAUGGAGACGUUUCUGCUGAUCCAUUUGACGUUACCAGAACAAAGAAUGCUCCGGUUCAACGCCUCAGGCGUUGGAGGCAAGCCGCACUUGUGCUCAAUGCUUCUCGUCGAUUUCGUUACACCUUGGACUUAAAGAAAGAAGAAGAGAAGAAACGAGUAUUAAGAAUUGUUAUAGUGCAUACACGAGCCAUUCAAGCCGCAUAUCGAUUCAAGGAAGCUGGGCAAAUGAAUGGAAUUGUAAAAUCUCCUUCAAGCUCCACUGGAGAAUUUUCGGUUGGACAAGAACAACUUUCUUCAAUUUCAAGGGACCGUGAUGCUACUGCUCUACAGGAAAAUGGAGGGGUUGUAGGGUUAUCACAUUUGUUGAAAACCAAUUUAGAGAAGGGGAUUCAGAGUGAUGAUGCUGACUUGCUGAAACGGAGGAGUGCAUUCGGCUCCAACAACUACCCACGAAAGAGUGGAAGAAGUUUUUUGAUGUUUAUGUGGGAUGCUUGCAAGGAUCUGACCUUGAUUAUUUUAAUGGUAGCUGCAAUGGCUUCAUUAGCACUGGGGAUAAAAUCUGAGGGUAUUAAGGAAGGAUGGUAUGACGGGGGAAGCAUUGCUUUUGCAGUUAUUCUUGUUAUUCUUGUUACAGCUAUAAGUGAUUAUAAGCAGUCUCUUCAGUUUCAAGACCUAAAUGAGCACAAAAGAAACAUACAUUUGGAGGUUAUUCGAGAUGGUAGAAGAGUCGAGAUCUCCAUAUAUGAUGUUGUUGUUGGUGAUGUUAUACCCCUUAACAUUGGUAAUCAGGUCCCUGCUGAUGGAGUUUUGAUCACUGGUCACUCUCUUGCAAUUGAUGAAUCAAGUAUGACUGGGGAGAGCAAGAUUGUCGAAAAAAAUUCUAGUGAUCCUUUUCUGAUUUCUGGAUGUAAAGUUGCAGAUGGCAGUGGAACUAUGCUGGUAACAGCUGUUGGUAUUAAUACUGAAUGGGGGCUUCUAAUGGCCAGCAUUUCAGAAGACAAUGGUGAAGAAACUCCUUUGCAGGUACGCUUAAAUGGUCUUGCUACCUUAAUUGGUAUCGUUGGACUCUCUGUGGCUGUCGUUGUUCUGAUGGUGCUACUGGCCAGAUAUUUCUCUGGGCACACUAGAAACCCAGAUGGAAGUGUUCAAUUUAUAGCGGGCAAGACCAAAGUUGGUGAUGCUAUUGAUGGAGUAAUUAAGAUAUUCACUAUCGCGGUCACCAUUGUAGUGGUUGCAGUGCCUGAAGGGCUGCCUUUAGCAGUUACCUUAACACUUGCCUACUCAAUGAAAAAAAUGAUGGCAGAUAAAGCUUUGGUGAGGAGGCUUUCUGCCUGUGAGACAAUGGGGUCAGCCACAACCAUUUGCAGUGAUAAGACUGGAACAUUGACUAUGAAUCAGAUGACUGUGGUUGAGGCUUGGAUUGGUGGUGGGAAGAAGAUUGCUGAUCCUCAUGAUGUAUCACAGUUCUCUCGUAUGCUCUGCUCUUUGCUGAUUGAAGGUGUUGCACAGAACACUAAUGGAAGUGUAUAUAUCCCUGAGGGUGGUAAUGAUGUUGAGAUUUCUGGAUCACCAACAGAAAAGGCAAUAUUAGAGUGGGGAGUUAAGCUUGGGAUGAAUUUUGACACUGCCAGAUCAAAGUCAUCAAUUAUUCAUGUAUUCCCAUUCAAUUCAGACAAAAAGCGAGGAGGAGUUGCAACAUGGGUGUCUGACUCUGAAGUCCAUAUACAUUGGAAAGGUGCUGCUGAGAUAGUCCUAGCUUGCUGUACACGGUAUUUUGAUGCUAAUGAUCAGUUGGUGGAGAUGGAUGAAGCAAAGAUGUCAACUUUUAAAAAAGCUAUUGAAGAUAUGGCUGCUGAUAGUCUACGUUGUGUUGCGAUUGCCUAUAGAUCAUAUGAAAUGAAGAAUGUUCCAACUAGUGAGGAAGAACUUGCUCACUGGUCAUUACCAGAGGAUGAUCUUGUUUUAUUGGCUAUUAUUGGCCUAAAGGAUCCUUGUCGACCUGGUGUCAAAGAUGCAGUGCAGCUUUGCCAAAAGGCUGGGGUUGAGGUAAAAAUGGUCACUGGUGACAACGUUAAAACUGCAAGAGCAAUUGCUGUGGAAUGUGGAAUACUUGGUUCAAUUUCUGAUGCUACAGAACCAAUCAUCAUUGAAGGAAAAAGAUUUCGUGCCUUGACAGAUGAAGGGAGAGCAGAUAUUGUUGAAAAGAUAUUGGUUAUGGGACGGUCAUCUCCUAAUGACAAGCUUUUGCUUGUGCAAGCAUUGAGGAGGAAGGGGCAUGUUGUGGCUGUAACUGGAGAUGGAACAAACGAUGCUCCCGCACUACAUGAGGCCGAUAUUGGUCUUGCAAUGGGUAUCCAAGGUACAGAAGUUGCUAAAGAGAGCUCUGAUAUCAUUAUUUUGGAUGACAAUUUUGCUUCAGUUGUGAAGGUUGUCAAAUGGGGGCGGUCUGUAUAUGCAAAUAUUCAGAAAUUUAUCCAGUUUCAGCUUACAGUCAAUAUAGCAGCACUUGCUAUAAAUGUUGUUGCUGCAUUUACCACCGGUGACAUCCCACUAAAUACAGUACAGCUUCUCUGGGUAAAUCUUAUCAUGGAUACUCUUGGAGCAUUAGCCUUGGCAACUGAACCACCAACUGAUUCCCUGAUGGAUCAAAGUCCAAAGGGUCGAAGAGAACCUCUUGUAUCAAAUAUUAUGUGGAGGAAUCUGCUGAUACAGGCUAUGUACCAAGUGUCCGUCUUGCUUAUACUUAAUUUCCGAGGUGUGAGCUUACUGGCUUUGAGGGAUGAGCCCAACCGCCCUGCAAUCAAAGUGAAGAACUCUCUGAUAUUUAAUGCAUUUGUUCUUUGUCAAGUCUUUAAUGAAUUUAAUGCCCGAAAGCCUGAUAAAUUCAACAUAUUCAAGGGAGUCACAAGAAACUACCUCUUCAUGGGGAUAGUAGGAAUAACUGUUGUGCUUCAGAUUGUCAUCAUUGAAUAUCUCGGGAAGUUCACUAAAACAGCCAAGCUUAAUUGGAAGCAGUGGCUCAUUUCUGUUAUUAUAGCAUUUAUCAGCUGGCCUCUUGCUGUGGUAGGAAAAUUGAUACCAGUACCAGAGGCAGAACUCAGUAACUUUUUCCGAAAAUGUCUUCGUAGACAAAAUUAAAGAAGGAUGGAAUCUGAGGCUUCUCAGCAGAGUCUUUGCUGAUUCACUCUCCCGUCCGUCUCAUUUAUUGACAGGUACGCCAAUUUUUCAAUCUUAGGAGAUCUGAUAUUUUUAAGCAUUAGUUCCCCCAGUCCGCAUGGCCAUAAUUUAAACUGGAAGAAUAAAACAUGUCCUAUUGACGCCAGCAAAUUUGAAUUACACAACAAUCACAAUGAUCCUCGGUAAUUCCAAACAGCUAAUAAGUUCAGCAAGAGAUUUGUAAGGCCACAACUAUUGCAAGUCUGUCAGACAAGCCUGUGAUAUGUCAACUUCGAGAGACUGAUUAAAAUAACAGAAUACUCACAAAUGGUGUAUUUACACAACACCCAUCAAUUUCAUAUUCAGCCAAACACCCAGUGCAAGUUUUCAUAGAGCAGACAAUGAAAAUGGUGCAUGGCCUGCUCAACCGUUGGAGCAUAUCUGCCCACACGAUAUGCUGGGGACUGGAGGCCCUUCUGGACACCUUCACACAACACAAUAUCUUCUAUCUGCUCAUACAACAACCAAAUGCCGUGGCAGGAGAAAUCAUGGGGUUGUGGUCAAGGUUGGUCUUGACUAUUGAAAGUAAUUUAUAUGUCAUUAAUGCUCUUUUGUUCAUGUAUGCUAAGUGUGAGCUUAAUGCUAAGUGUGGUCAAGGUUAAUUUUACUACCAUGAUGGGUGGAUUGGCACAGACAAAUCAAGUCAAGGAAGCUGCAGAAUUGUUUAGACUCAUGUUGAGAAAAGGGAUUCAUGUUGAUUUUGUGUCCUUGUACAGCAUAUUGGGUGUCUGUGCUAAGAGGGGAAAGGGAUGUUUUUUUUAUCAACCAAAAGAAUGUAACUGGUUGCUUGGUAUAUGUAUGCAAAAAUUGGGGACAUGGAUAGUGCUGAGAAGGUUUUUGUUAACUUGAAGUCAAAUCAGCAAAGUUUUGUUUCUUAUUUUUUUCGUUGUGACAUUUAUUAGCUGCUGGUAUUUGAAAAUUA